rnacentral:rRNA from 1 species
AUUGAACGCUGGCGGCAGGCCUAACACAUGCAAGUCGAGCGGAUGAAGGGAGCUUGCUCUUGGAUUCAGCGGCGGACGGGUGAGUAAUGCCUAGGAAUCUGCCUGGUAGUGGGGGAUAACGUCCGGAAACGGGCGCUAAUACCGCAUACGUCCUGAGGGAGAAAGUGGGGGAUCUUCGGACCUCACGCUAUCAGAUGAGCCUAGGUCGGAUUAGCUAGUUGGUGGGGUAAAGGCCUACCAAGGCGACGAUCCGUAACUGGUCUGAGAGGAUGAUCAGUCACACUGGAACUGAGACACGGUCCAGACUCCUACGGGAGGCAGCAGUGGGGAAUAUUGGACAAUGGGCGAAAGCCUGAUCCAGCAAUGCCGCGUGUGUGAAGAAGGUCUUCGGAUUGUAAAGCACUUUAAGUUGGGAGGAAGAGCAGUAAGUUAAUACCUUGCUGUUUUGACGGUACCAACAGAAUAAGCACCGGCUAACUUCGUG